rnacentral:lncRNA from 1 species
UUUGUUUAUAUUUUUUUUUGAUUGCAUUUGCAAUGCCCCAGUUUGACUGUUUUGCUGAUUCUCAUGAUACAGCUGAAUGAGCUUCUUUUGUGCUCGAGAAGUCGGGUAAUCUCAUCAGGAAUCCCCUUCAAUAUCAUCUUCCUCUGCUUCAAAUACAAGGAAUUCAAGAUUGGGAGAUGGCGUUGGAUCAUUAUGUUCAAUGGGUUUAGAAGUCCCUGCAUAAUGAUUCUGG